rnacentral:rRNA from 1 species
UACGAAGGGGGGCUAGCGUUGCUCGGAAUCACUGGGCGUAAAGCGCACGUAGGCGGCUUUCUAAGUCAGGGGGUGAAAUCCUGGAGCUCAACUCCAGAACUGCCUUUGAUACUGGGAGCUCGAGUCCGGAAGAGGUGAGUGGAACUGCGAGUGUAGAGGUGAAAUUCGUAGAUAUUCGCAAGAACACCAGUGGCGAAGGCGGCUCACUGGUCCGGUACUGACGCUGAGGUGCGAAAGCGUGGGGAGCAAACAGG